UGGGACUGCCGGUGACAACCGGAGGAAGUGGGAUGACGUCAAGUCCUCAUGGCCCUUAUAGGUGGGGCUACACACGUCAUACAAUGGCCGGUACAGAGGGUAGCCAACCCGCGAGGGGGAGCCAAUCCCAACAAAGCCGGUCGUAGUCCGGAUCGCAGUCUGCAACUCGACUGCGUGAAGUCGGAAUCGCUAGUAAUCGCGGAUCAGCAUGUCGCGGUGAAUACGUUCCCGGGUCUU
rnacentral:rRNA from 1 species